GUCCUUACUCCAGGAGCACAAAUACUAAAAUUGGAAAAAGGCCAAGAUUAGCAUGGGUCUUGCCCCAGGAUUACAUAGAAAUUCAGGAAGAAUUUUAUUCUUUU